CCACAUGUUUCGUGCCCAACUCAUGAUCGAAACACCAACUGUCCGCCUUCCGCUCCGUAGAGAUGGAACAGGAAUCUGUACGUCGGCGGCUCUGUUACACAACAGUAUACAACACACGUAGAGUGAUGACACAGAGCUCGGUUUCUACGUUGUUGCACCGGUCGGAUUAUAUUCGAGUUUUAGUUUCAGUUUAAUUUGUUGUUUGUUUUCUAUUGCUGCUACAUAUAGCCGGCGAUCCUGUUUGCGUCUAUAGAAAAAUAGAAUAAUCUGU
rnacentral:lncRNA from 1 species